GUCUAUGGCCAUACCACCCUAAACGUGCCCAGUCUUGUCUGAUGUUGAAAGCUAAGCAGGGUCAGGCCUGGUUAGUACUUGGAUGGGAGACAGAUCUUGAGAGGAGACUGUUCAGAGACA
ensembl:rRNA 5S_rRNA 5S ribosomal RNA